AACAUGGUGUGGAAAUACUGCCGGA
rnacentral:piRNA from 1 species